GUGAGUCAUCGAAUCUUUGAACGCACAUUGCGCCCUCUGGUAUUCCGGAGGGCAUGCCUGUUUGAGUGUCAUUAAUCUCUCACAAAACCUUCUGGUUUCUGUUGAUGUUGGGAGUUGCGUUUCCUUGUGAGACGCUCUCCUCAAAUGCAUUGGUGCGGCCUGCCGCCCGGUUACACAACGUUCUAGGUUCGUCCAACUCGUUGCUAAAUCGGUGCACCAUUUGGUGCUGCACCUAAAGCCCGCCUUGUGCCUUGUGCUCUUGGCUUAUCUUAUUUAUUGACCUCAGAUCAGGUAGGAAUA
rnacentral:misc_RNA from 1 species